CAGCAGCCGCGGUAAUACAGAGGGUGCGAGCGUUAAUCGGAUUUACUGGGCGUAAAGCGUGCGUAGGCGGCUAAUUGAGUCGGAUGUGAAAUCCCCGAGCUUAACUUGGGAAUUGCAUUCGAUACUGGUUAGCUAGAGUGUGGGAGAGGAUGGUAGAAUUCCAGGUGUAGCGGUGAAAUGCGUAGAGAUCUGGAGGAAUACCGAUGGCGAAGGCAGCCAUUUGGCCUAACACUGACGCUGAGGUACGAAAGCAUGGGGAGCAAACAGGAUUAGAUACCCCGGUAGUCCCUGUCUCUUAUAC
rnacentral:rRNA from 1 species